rnacentral:rRNA from 1 species
CCUACGGGUGGCAGCAGUGAGGAAUAUUGGUCAAUGGACGGAAGUCUGAACCAGCCAUGCCGCGUGCAGGAAGACGGCUCUAUGAGUUGUAAACUGCUUUUGUACAAGGGUAAACCUGAAUACGUGUAUUCAGCUGAAAGUACUGUACGAAUAAGGAUCGGCUAACUCCGUGCCAGCAGCCGCGGUAAUACGGAGGAUCCAAGCGUUAUCCGGAUUUAUUGGGUUUAAAGGGUGUGUAGCCGGGAAGGCAAGUCAGAUGUGAAAUCUGGAGGCUCCACCUCCAAAUUGCAUUUGAAACUGUUUUUCUUGAGUACUGGAGAGGCAGACGGAAUUCCUUGGGUAGCGGUGAAAUGCAUAGAUAUCACGCAGAACUCCGAUUGCGAAGGCAGCAUACCGGCGCGCAACUGACGCUCAUGCACGAAAGCGUGGGUAUCGAACAGGAUUAGAUACCCCAGUAGUC